CAGGCCUAACACAUGCAAGUCGAGCGAGGCUCCUCCUUCGGGAGGAUGCCCUAGCGGCGAACGGGUGAGUAACACGUGGGCAACCUGCCCCUGGCUCUGGGAUAACUCCGGGAAACCGGGGCUAAUACCGGAUACGACCUCUGCGGGCAUCCUCCGGAGGUGGAAAGAUUUAUCGGCCAGGGAUGGGCCCGCGGCCUAUCAGCUUGUUGGUGGGGUAACGGCCUACCAAGGCGACGACGGGUAGCCGGCCUGAGAGGGCGACCGGCCACACUGGGACUGAGACACGGCCCAGACUCCUACGGGAGGCAGCAGUGGGGAAUAUUGCACAAUGGGCGAAAGCCUGAUGCAGCGACGCCGCGUGAGGGAUGACGGCCUUCGGGUUGUAAACCUCUUUCAGCAGGGACGAAGCGAAAGUGACGGUAUCUGCAGAAGAAGCAACGUCCAUCUACGUGCCAGCAGCCGCGGUCAU
rnacentral:rRNA from 1 species